GACGAACGCUGGCGGCGUGCUUAACACAUGCAAGUCGAACGGAAAGGCCCUGCUUUUGUGGGGUGCUCGAGUGGCUAACGGGUGAGUAACACGUGAGUAACCUGCCCUUGACUUUGGGAUAACUUCAGGAAACUGGGGCUAAUACCGGAUAGGAGCUCCUGCUGCAUGGUGGGGGUUGGAAAGUUUCGGCGGUUGGGGAUGGACUCGCGGCUUAUCAGCUUGUUGGUGGGGUAGUGGCUUACCAAGGCUUUGACGGGUAGCCGGCCUGAGAGGGUGACCGGCCACAUUGGGACUGAGAUACGGCCCAGACUCCUACGGGAGGCAGCAGUGGGGAAUAUUGCACAAUGGGCGGAAGCCUGAUGCAGCAACGCCGCGUGCGGGAUGACGGCCUUCGGGUUGUAAACCGCUUUCGCCUGUGACGAAGCGUGAGUGACGGUAAUGGGUAAAGAAGCACCGGCUAACUACGUGCCAGCAGCCGCGGUGAUACGUAGGGUGCGAGCGUUGUCCGGAUUUAUUGGGCGUAAAGGGCUCGUAGGUGGUUGAUCGCGUCGGAAGUGUAAUCUUGGGGCUUAACCCUGAGCGUGCUUUCGAUACGGGUUGACUUGAGGAAGGUAGGGGAGAAUGGAAUUCCUGGUGGAGCGGUGGAAUGCGCAGAUAUCAGGAGGAACACCAGUGGCGAAGGCGGUUCUCUGGGCCUUUCCUGACGCUGAGGAGCGAAAGCGUGGGGAGCGAACAGGCUUAGAUACCCUGGUAGUCCACGCUGUAAACGGUGGGUACUAGGUGUGGGGUCCAUUCCACGGGUUCCGUGCCGUAGCUAACGCUUUAAGUACCCCGCCUGGGGAGUACGGCCGCAAGGCUAAAACUCAAAGGAAUUGACGGGGCCCCGCACAAGCGGCGGAGCAUGCGGAUUAAUUCGAUGCAACGCGUAGAACCUUACCUGGGUUUGACAUGGAUCGGGAGUGCUCAGAGAUGGGUGUGCCUCUUUUGGGGUCGGUUCACAGGUGGUGCAUGGCUGUCGUCAGCUCGUGUCGUGAGAUGUUGGGUUAAGUCCCGCAACGAGCGCAACCCUUGUUCACUGUUGCCAGCACGUUAUGGUGGGGACUCAGUGGAGACCGCCGGGGUCAACUCGGAGGAAGGUGGGGAUGACGUCAAGUCAUCAUGCCCCUUAUGUCCAGGGCUUCACGCAUGCUACAAUGGCUGGUACAGAGAGUGGCGAGCCUGUGAGGGUGAGCGAAUCUCGGAAAGCCGGUCUCAGUUCGGAUUGGGGUCUGCAACUCGACCUCAUGAAGUCGGAGUCGCUAGUAAUCGCAGAUCAGCAACGCUGCGGUGAAUACGUUCCCGGGGCU
rnacentral:rRNA from 1 species